rnacentral:lncRNA from 1 species
CUUCUCCAGUCUACUAGCAAACAUCAAAGACAUCAGCAGCUGCAGACCAGUCCACUCAGCAGACAGCAUGCAUGAAUCAACAAGAGCAGUUCAAUCCAGAAGAAACCCCAAGGCUUGACAAUAGGCCCAAGUCAGCAGAUGCAGCAAGAAGCCACAGGCACCUCACUUCACGAGAAGUUUCUCUCUAUGAAGUCACUACACUCGAAGCUCAGCAACAUAAUGUAAGGCAAUAUAUGCGUGUCAUGUUUUUAGAUAUUUUCUUCAUUUACAUUUCAAAUGCUACCCCCAAAGCCCCCAUACUCCCACCCCGCUCCCCAACCCACCCACUCCUGCUUCCUGGCCCUGGCAUUCCCCUAUACUGAGACAUAUGAUCUUCACAAGACCAAGGGCCUCUCCUCCCAUUGAGGCAAUCCUCUGCUACAUACGCAACUAGAGAGCACUCUGCUGGGCACAAGGGUUUCUCCAUAUUCAUACCAGAUGGGGAAGCAGGAAAAUGAACUCCAGAGAGGAGGAGACAAGAAGCACCAUCUCUGCAGACAGAGCCCUUCCUAAAGUGGAAGAUUCUAGAAGGCUGACCUCCGGGGCCAAGUCUGGACUGCGCAGGGUAGCCUG